AUUGAACGCUGGCGGCAUGCCUAACACAUGCAAGUCGAGCGGAGCUGCGGACGGGUGAGUAAUUCCUAGGAAUCUGCCUGGUAGUGGGGGAUAACGUCCGGAAACGGGCGCUAAUCCCACAUACUCUCAGAUGAGCCUAGGUCGGAUUAGCUAGUUGGUGGGGUAAAGGCCUACCAAGGCGACGCGCCGUAACUGGUCUGAGAGGAUGAUCAGUCACACUGGAACUGAGACACGGUCCAGACUCCUACGGGAGGCAGCAGUGGGGAAUAUUGGACAAUGGGCGAAAGCCUGAUCCAGCCAUGCCGCGUGUGUGAAGAAGGUCUUCGGAUUGUAAAGCACUUUAAGUUGGGAGGCGUUACCAACAGAAUAAGCACCGGCUAACUUCGUGCCAGCAGCCGCGGUAAUUC
rnacentral:rRNA from 1 species